rnacentral:rRNA from 1 species
AACGAACGCUGGCGGCGUGGCUAAAACAUGCAAGUCGAACGCGAAAGUUCCCUUCGGGGAGCGAUUAGAGUGGCGUAAGGGCGAGGAAUACAUGGAUAACGUACCCCGGGCACCGGGAUAGCUGUGGGAAACUGCAGGUAAUACCGGAUGAGACCACAGCACCUACGGGUGCAGCGGUCAAAAGGUGGGGAUUCCUUCGGGAACCUGUCGGCCUGGGAGCGGUCCAUGUCCUAUCAGCUUGUUGGUGAGGUAAAGGCUCACCAAGGCUACGACGGGUACCGGGACUGAGAGGUUGAUCCGGCGCAUUGGGACUGAGACACUGCCCAGACUCCUACGGGAGGCUGCAGUAACGAAUAUUGGACAAUGAGCGAAAGCUUGAUCCAGCGACGCCGCGUGUAGGACGAAGUCCCUCGGGAUGUAAACUACUGUCAGGGGUCACCAAGCAAUUGGGGUUAAUACCCCCAUGCGUUGAGGAGCCCCAGAGGAAGCCACGGCUAACUUCGUGCCAGCAGCCGCGGUAAGACGAAGGUGGCGAGCGUUGUUCGGAAUCACUGGGCUUAAAGCGCACGCAGGCGGGCUGUCAAGCGCCUUGUGAAAUCCCUCGGCUUAACCGAGGAAUUGCUGGGCGAACUGGCAGCCUUGAGGCAGGUAGGGGCAACUGGAACUCUUGGUGGAGCGGUGGAAUGCGUAGAUAUCAAGGGGAACGCCGGAGGCGAAGGCGAGUUGCUGGGCCUGUCCUGACGCUGAGGUUCGAAAGCGUGGGGAGCGAACGGGAUUAGAUACCCCGGUAGUCCACGCCCUAAACGAUGUGAACUAGUCGGAGGCACUCUGACGUGUUUUUGGCCGAAAUGAAAACGGUAAGUUCACCGCCUGGGGAGUACGGUCGCAAGGCUAAAACUCAAAGGAAUUGACGGGGGCUCACACAAGCGGUGGAGCAUGUUGCUUAAUUCGAUGCAACGCGAAGAACCUUAUCCUGGGUUUGACAUGCUUGGAUGCCUACCUGGAAACAGGCUUGGUUGCCCUUCGGGGUGAAACUUGCACAGGUGCUGCAUGGCUGUCGUCAGCUCGUGUCGUGAGAUGUUGGGUUAAGUCCCGUAACG